rnacentral:rRNA from 1 species
GACGAACGCUGGCGGCGUGCCUAAUACAUGCAAGUCGAACGAGAGCGACCGGUGCUUGCACUGGUCAAUCUAGUGGCGAACGGGUGAGUAACACGUGGGUAACCUGCCCAUCAGAGGGGGAUAACAUCCGGAAACGGAUGCUAAAACCGCAUAGGUCUUCGAACCGCAUGGUUUGAAGAGGAAAAGAGGCGCAAGCUUCUGCUGAUGGAUGGACCCGCGGUGCAUUAGCUAGUUGGUGAGGUAACGGCUCACCAAGGCCGUGAUGCAUAGCCGACCUGAGGGGGUGAUCGGCCACAUUGGGACUGAGACACGGCCCAAACUCCUACGGGAGGCAGCAGUAGGGAAUCUUCCGCAAUGGACGCAAGUCUGACGGAGCAACGCCGCGUGAGUGAAGAAGGUUUUCGGAUCGUAAAACUCUGUUGUUAGAGAAGAACAAGUGCUAGAGUAACUGUUAGCGCCUUGACGGUAUCUAACCAGAAAGCCACGGCUAACUACGU